UAAGGCAGUGGAAGAUACAAAGUCAUUGGAAGAGUACAUAAAUAGCUUGAAGAAUUAACUUCUGAAUCCAGCAAACCAAUAAAGUAGAGAAAAAAUAUGACACCAAUCUUCUAGCCUGAUUUCAGUAAGGAGUGGACUCAAAAUAUUCCAUAAUACAGAAUCAUUUUGAAGAUCAUGAUUCCUGUGACUUCCUUGGAGCCCAAGGUGGAGCGAUCCACCCUGGAGAAACCUCUUUUCAUCAGAGAGGUGUUCUACCCCUGGAUCUUCCAUUCCAAUCAGAUCCACCUGCAUGUUCUCUCCAGCACCAUACCUUUGAGAGGGCACUUGUCUAACUUUUCUGAUUAAAGUGGAUGCACUACUGUAGAUACAGAGCCCUUGAAAGCAGAGGCUGCUGCUGCAAAUUCACUUUUUAAAUUUGUUUCCGAAAAAGAU